rnacentral:rRNA from 1 species
CAAUAGCGUAUAUUAAAGUUGUUGCAGUUAAAAAGCUCGUAGUCGGAUUUCGGGUUGGCGCGGUCGGUCUGCCGUUGGGUAUGCACUGACUGUCGCCUUCCUUUCCGGGGUAGAUCGUGCGUUUACUCGUGCGUUUCUCCUCGCGUUUACUUUGAGAAAAUCAGAGUGUUCAAAGCAGGCCUUUGCCAUUGUAUGUGUUAGCAUGGGAUAAUGGAAUAGGACUCUGGUGCUAUUUUGUUGGUUUCGAACGCCGGGGUAAUGAUUAAUAGGGACAGUCAGGGGCACUCGUAUUCCGUAGAGAGAGGUGAAAUUCUUAGACCCACGGAAGACGCACUACUGCGAAAGCAUUUGCCAGGGAUGUUUUCACUG